rnacentral:misc_RNA from 1 species
UCUCCGUUGGUGAACCAGCGGAGGGAUCAUUACUGGAAUCGCAAGAUCCCACAACCCCUGUGAACCUACCGAAACGUUGCCUCGGCGGGCGCCCCGCCCCGCGCCGGGGGCUGAGCCCGCCGGCGGCCCCCUACCCUUGUCUCUGCAGCGUGGCAUCUCAGAGUCCCAGAAAACAAGUAAAAACUUUCAACAACGGAUCUCUUGGCUCUA